rnacentral:rRNA from 1 species
UCGCUACUACCGAUUGAACGUCUUAGUGAAUUUUAAGGAUACUUGUCUUCAGAAGGGCUUCCUACUGCUGACAUGGUAAAAUUAAUGUUAACUUGAACGUUUAGAGGAAGUAA